UCUGCAAGAAUGGGCUGGAGGAGUUCAUCCUGAAAGCCCAGCAGGGCAGGCUCAUCUAUGCUCUGGUCCUGAACAUCACCUCCAGAAGUGCUGGGAUGUACACGUGUGGGUACCAGCAGAGGAACGAGAAAAACUGGGUGAGGAACUCUGCUCUCAGUGCUCCCUGGACCUUGUCUGUGGCAGGCAGCAGCCCCUCACACAAGGCCCAGCUCCCUUCCAGAGGUGAGCCAUUGCUCAUCAGC
rnacentral:lncRNA from 1 species